rnacentral:rRNA from 1 species
AUUGAACGCUGGCGGCAGGCCUAACACAUGCAACUCGAGCGAGCGGCGGACGGGGGAGCAAUGUAUGGGGACUGCCCGAUAGCGGGGGAUAACUACUGGAACCGGUAGCUAAUCCCGCAUACUAUCGGAUAACCCAUAUGGGAUUAGCUAGUAGGUGAGGGAAUGGCUCACCUAGGCGACGAUCCCUAGCUGGUCUGAGAGGAUGAUCAGCCGCACUGGGACGCAGACACGGCCCAGACUCCGACGGAGGCAGCAGUGGGGAAUAUUGGACAAGGGGCGCAAGCCCGAUGCAGCCAUGCCGCGUGUAUGAAGAAGGCCCUAGGGUUGUAAAGUACUUUCAGUCGGGAGGCGUUACCGACAGAAGAAGCACCGGCUAACUCCGUGCCAGCAGCCGCGGUAAUUC